CCUACGGGUGGCAGCAGUGAGGAAUAUUGGUCAAUGGUCGGGAGACUGAACCAGCCAAGCCGCGUGAGGGAUGAAGGUACAGAGUAUCGUAAACCUCUUUUGUCAGGGAACAAAGGCGGGGACGUGUCCCCGGAUGAGUGUACCUGAAGAAAAAGCAUCGGCUAACUCCGUGCCAGAAGCCGCGGUAAUACGGAGGAUGCGAGCGUUAUCCGGUUUUAUUGGGUUUAAAGGGUGCGCAGGCGGUCUGUUAAGUCAGCGGUAAAAGCCCGGGGCGAAACCCCGGCCCGCCGUUGAAACUGGCAGUCUCGAGUUGGAGAGAAGGAUGCGGAAUGCGCGGUGUAGCGGUGAAAUGCAUAGAUAUCGCGCAGAACUCCGAUUGCGAAGGCAGCAUGCCGGCUCCACACUGACGCUGAGGCACGAAAGCGUGGGUAUCGAACAGGAUUAGAUACCCCAGUAGUC
rnacentral:rRNA from 1 species